UAGGGAAUCUUCCACAAUGGACGAAAGUCUGAUGGAGCAACGCCGCGUGAACGAUGAAGGCCUUCGGGUCGUAAAGUUCUGUUGUAAGGGAAGAACAAGUGCCGCAGGCAAUGGCGGCACCUUGACGGUACCUUGCGAGAAAGCCACGGCUAACUACGUGCCAGCAGCCGCGGUAAUACGUAGGUGGCAAGCGUUGUCCGGAAUUAUUGGGCGUAAAGCGCGCGCAGGCGGCCUCUUAAGUCUGAUGUGAAAGCCCCCGGCUCAACCGGGGAGGGCCAUUGGAAACUGGGAGGCUUGAGUAUAGGAGAGAAGAGUGGAAUUCCACGUGUAGCGGUGAAAUGCGUAGAGAUGUGGAGGAACACCAGUGGCGAAGGCGACUCUUUGGCCUAUAACUGACGCUGAGGCGCGAAAGCGUGGGGAGCAAACAGG
rnacentral:rRNA from 2 species